UGCAUUACUCUGAGGUGUUCUUUUGCUGGC
rnacentral:piRNA from 1 species